ACCCACCCUCUCCCUCUACCUCUCCUCUCGAUCCCCAGAUCCAUCCUAGAGCUCGGUCACGCCGCUCUGCGCUCCAUGGCCGGCACCGCAUCCUCUCACGCUUGCUCCGCUCCGCUCCUUCCUCCCAUCAGUUCGGAUCUGGUGCGCGCGUCCCCAACCCCUGAUGGCUCUCACGCCGCACCCGCCACUCCAGCUCCGCACGCCCCCCUCCCCCCCCGCGGUCGCCGUGGCCCACCAGCGUCGUGUGCUCCUCUCGCCGCGCCGCACUCGUUCCUGCUGUUGCUGCGCCGGUGCCGACGUGGGUAAGGUGUGGGCGAGGCGGGCGUACCGGUACGACGAGAUCGAGCCGAGGUGGCAGGCGCGCUGGGAGGAGCACCGCACGUUCCGCACCUCGGACGCCUCCAGGCCCAAGGGCUACAUCCUCGGCAUGUUCCCUUACCCAAGGUUCGGUUCAAAUAGGUGCUUGACUGUGAUUUGUGAAUGGGGGUGAUUGGCGCACACUAGCGAUUUUUAUGCUUCAGAUCGCUUCCUCCAUGACACCCCGAUCCGGGCGGCGGCAGCAGCGAUGGCAUCGACAAUCGACUGUGCCUAACUCUGCAUCUAUAACUGGCCUGUCUUCUUUAGACGGGUGCAGGUGCUCUACUACGCGCUACUCCGAACGGGUCACCUGGACAAAUGUUUUGCUUGUUUUUGAGCUACUACCACUUUUUAAGCUACUGCACUUGUUUUUGUCGGUAAUCUGAGCACUUGUUAGUUUAGUCAGGUAGGAGAUUAGAGUGAAAUGAUCCUGUAGGAGGUCCUGGACGAUGAUGUGCAAACAAUUAUUUUCUAUAGCAUUAGUAUGUCAAAUUUGUCUAAGUUAGUACAUGAGGAUUCUGCUAGCUGACAUACUAAUGUUGGUCAAUGAGUGAUGCUUCAUAGCGGACAACUACUGGUUUUAAUAUGCAAACAACAACAGUGCUAGAGAUGCUAUGUAAUAAUUAAUGUGUACUUGUUGAAAGUUCUUGCUUAUAUUAGUGUCUCUUAUUUCUUUUCUAAUUAAUGUCUCUCAUUUUUGUUCUAGUUAAUGUGUAACUGAGAAUGAACAUACUUCUCUCUUUUUAGAAUGCUAGAUUGCACAAGUUGAACGAUCUGCUCUAGUUUAAACAAGUUGGGAUACAUCAAUAUAAUAGGACUUUGUUUGCACUUCACCUAGCUUGUAACCAAUAUCCUUAUUGCUAAUUUACCUCAAGUUUAUCUAACAUGGUUGAAAUGAGCGCUGUAAAGUUUCAUGUCUAAGCUCAAUUUUUAUCCUAAGUCCUGAAGUAAUUAUUUUGGUUACAUCAUAGUUUGUUGAGAAUAUUAACUUGAACAUUGUAUGUAUGCCCUGAUGCAUGUACACACACGGCAUCAAAUAUUGAGCUGCAGCGAAACAACCUGGAGCUAGAGAACAUCAAGGAUAAGAUCAAGGAAGUUCUUGCCUUGUUGGCAACAUUGUGAGAUCAUGACCAAGCAUGACAAGAAGGGAGGCUCGUCAACCACCUACCAGCACACCUAUCAUGACCGAUGAUGAGACGCUGAAGGUUACGAGAGAUGAUGCUGGAGAGAUGCCCUUCCUGUAGGUCUACACAUAAGCGGAAGUUCAUGGGUAUGCAAGAUUUGAUGGUUAAAAUGGUUGAUGUGAUGUGAAUGAGUGUAUGGAAACUGGUUGUUGUGAUGUGAAUGAGUGUUGUAGUUUCACGUGUUCUGUUCUGUAUAGCAUAUUGUAAUAAACUUAUUUUAGCUGUUAUUUGAAGAUUUUCAUAUGCUUUC